rnacentral:sRNA from 1 species
UUGGAGGAGCUGAAGAGACUGGACACGCACCUGGCAGACAUAUACCAGCACAUGGAUGGGAGCAGUUGUGAGCUGCAAGUCAUCAACUUCACCAAGAGAGAGAUCCAGGUGAGAGCUGGGUGGCGAGGGAGGAAGGGACAGGCCCAGCGGGGGCGGAGCCGGGUUCGCUUCCCACUGCUUGCCUGUCAGCUUUGUCCUCGGUGCCAAAGGCCCAGUUACCCCAUUCUCCUCAACCUCGCCUGGGCUCCACCUGCCUUGUCAGCCAGCGCCCUCUGCUGGCCGACAUUCCAAAGGGCAGCGGUGCCCUCUUGAAGGGCUGAGUUGAGCCUGAUUUGCAGGCUUUGCCUCCAGUCCCACAGUCUUUGCCAAUCACCCUGCCCGGGAAGUGCCUGUGUGCUAGCUGGGCCCUUAUUGACUGACUAGCCAGUUCUGAUAGGAAAUGUGAUUUAGGGCCAGUGAGCCCAGGGUCCUUGGAAAAGAGAAGAAAAGACAAUGUUCCCUUGUGGCAUUACUGACCGGCCACCAAAAAGCUGGAGGUGCCCAUGGGUCGGCCAGGUGGAGGGAGUCAGGUCACUUGGUCAUCCCAAGCCCAGCUGGGGCCGAUCACAAAGGGUCUUUGCAGAGCCUUUUACAAAGCACAGCUGUUUGAUCUUCCC